CUGAGUUCCCCACAAAGCUGACUCCGAGACUGAGAUUGGAAUGCAAGAGGUUAUCUAGGAAGCUUUACAGAACAAUACCUAUGGAAGGGAAGUGACAGAAGCAAGACUGCUUCAAGGAAGAAGUUGAAGUUUGGUGAGAUCUCAGUGGAGGCUGAGGCUACGAUAUUCAUUCAGAGUUUUCCCCACUAAAGAAGGAGGCUGUCUGUGAUACUUCCACAUUGAUCAGUCUUUGCUUGCAGUCUGCCCUAGUAUGGGAAUGUGACCUUGUGCAAGGCAGCGCUGAAUUGAGGCAAGCUUCAAAGUCGUGAAAGCAUGGCCAGGCUGCUCUGGUGCAGGAUGAAAGACAAGGAACUGAGCUGACUCAACCCAGUCACCCCAGUGCAUUUUAACAGCCAUGGAACAUGCAAAAAUGUGAGUUGACCCAGACUAAAAUGCAGAUGAUUCGCAGCUCAGUGUGGACCACGCCAGAGUCCAAUGGCCAAUGAUGGCGUACGACGUCCAACAGCAGAGCAAAUGAUGGAAGGUAUCACUCCCUGAAUGACCUCACAAAGCACAGAUGCCUGUUUAUCCAAAACUAACUGAACUGUUUCAUGAGAGAAAUGCACUUACUUGUGUCUUUUUGUUAUAGCUAUCCUAAAUUAUCUUUCACCUUAAUUAAUACAAUAUUUGAACUAGUACUACCAGAUGACAGAGAAUGGAGAAGAAGAGAAGUAGGAACUAAGGUUGACGAUAUAGUAAGAAAUCCAGACCUUUAAGAGGCUCAGAUGUCAUUAAAAAUAUUAUGAAGGCAAAUAAAGUCAAAAGUGAAAAACAAUUUUAACUAUGAAAAAAAGCAACUUUUUUUUUUCAUUUGUAAUUUGCUUCAAAUGGCAUAAGAUGCCUGGUAGAGAGGUCAAAUGAUAGUUCAGAUAUAGGAUGACACCCUGAAGUAUUCACCAUGAACUAGGCAGGCAAGAACAUUUCAUCUUGCCAGUUCCCACAGAAAAUACCAAUAUGUUAUGUUGACAUGCUCCUGCUGAACUUAUAAAUCUUGGAAAACUAACUUUUAGCACAGUGAAAGGGACAAGCCAUCCAUGGAUAAUAUGAUAACUAGUAUAAUUUUGCCCAAACUAAUAAUUCCAACAGUAAUCCAAUUUAGAGAUUGGGACAUUCAGUUCCGAAAGUUAUGGCUUUUACCAUACAGUGGACUAUCAUUGUCUGGCUUUUUGCUAUGUGAAGAAAUCAACUCCAAGUAUCAGUCAGGUAGUGAUCAUUUGCAGAUUCACUCAAGUGAAGGCAGAGUUAAAACUUUUCUCCUUGCACAUUCUCCUACACAGUUUUCUUUGUGGUCCUCUACAAACAAGAAUAGUGGAAAAAACAAGGGGAAGUGAACCUACCGUUAAGUGGAUGUAUAGAGACUCCCAAAUUAUCACUUCUCUUCUUAAAAUAACAAAUUAAAGCUAGGAAAGUAUAUAGAACUGUUUACAGCAAAACUUGUUUUCUGUUUUCCUCCCAAUAUGACAAUUUCCCUCUCCAUAUUUAGAAAUUUCUAAGAUAAGGUGGCCAACCAUCCUAAUUUGCCCAGGACAAAGGGAUUCGCUGGAUUUAGGGCUUUCAGUGCUAAAACCAGGCAAGUUCUGGGUAAAAAGUGAGAAGUUGUUUACUCUAUUCUAGGGCAGAGAGAGGGAGAGCAAUGUGAUACAUUGAGAGCAUUGACAAUGUCUACAUUUACAAUAAUCUCAUUUUUAAGUGUAUUUCAGUCAUAAAACCUUUGUUUACCCUUCUAUUCUGAGCUUUGUGACACUGAGGCUGGGACUCUGAAGAUUGCAUUUUUCCUUUGUCACCCAAUUCCAUCUGUCACUAGCGGGGAACUAGAGAAGAAAGGAUAUUGGAACAGGAAGAGAGAAGAGAUAUGCUCCCUCCUAUUUAUUGGUGCUAUUGUCAAUAUAGCCCAAGCAAUGAUCUUUCACCUGUGUAACAAUAGCUGGUUCCAGGUUUUGAGACUUUUAAAAUGAACUUCAUUGUGUUCUCUCAUGUGUAUCCACACAUGCUGGACAACACUAUCUAUCUCAUCAAUUUUAGCCCCAACCCUCUAGGGCCCUUCCUUGGAGCUCUUAACUUACUAGCAUCAAGCAGUGCAGCAACCCUUCCUCAGAGGUUUGAGGGCAAGCUCUUCCUGGCCCCUCCCAUAAGCUUCUAGAUGCUGAUCAUUCUGCUUUCUACAGCUAGUAGCUGCUUCCUAUGGUUUCUGUCUUUACAUUUCCUCAAUGUUCCUUUUUGCUUUAUCAGCCCUCCACACAUGAAACUAAUCACUAUAUUAAAUUCUCUUCUGAAGUAUGUAGCAUAAUUUCUAUUUCACUGCCCAAACCUUGACUGAUGCAAGCAGUUAUUUAAAAUUAAAAUAAAAAUUUUUAUAAGAAAUAUUAUUAAAAGAUUUCAUACCUAAACUGUCAAUAAAAUAUUUAAUAGUUACAAAGCAACUGACUUUUAGCUACAAUUGUUUAUUGUAUCAGGUUUCUCCCAAAUAUGAUUAUAAUUUCCUAAUAACUAUGAGAUCCUAGUGUCAGAAAGUCUAGUUGUAAACUUCAAUAUCUCAUCAGAUAUUUGCAGAAGGAAUUGAAGUAAAUUUAUCCUUUUAGCUGACUAAUAUAAAUGUAUUUGGCUUACUUUUAAUAAAAUAUUAGAAAAUAUCCACUUGUUUUCUGCUGUUUAGUUGUAAAGAUGAAUAAUUUAUUUCUAGAGCACAUUUAGGUUGUGUAGCUUAUUUACUAUUUACUGUAUAAACAUAAAAGAAACCAAAAUAGAAAAUUAAACAAGGCUUUAUCCUGAGCUUUGUGACACUGAGGCUGUCGAAAAUAGUGUAUGAUCUUUAGUGUUCGCUAUUAAAAAUUGUUUGUCUUAUAUAUUCAUAUGGAUAUAUUUUACCUUUUUCUCAUAAGCAUCUGUAUAGGGUUAAUUGCUAACAUAGAGGGCCUACUACUCCAGACACAAUUAUAAACCUUUUUCUUAUCAAUUAAUUUCAUUACUCAGCCAAGGUAGAAUUAUUAUUUCCAUGCUACAAUAGAGGAAAUGGUGCACAGAGAGAUUACAUUACUUGCCUAAGGUCACAAAGAUUGUCAGAGCUAGUAGCCAAACCUAAGCAGCCUAGAUACGUAAUGCAUGUUCUAAACUACUGCAGUGCUGCUCCUUACCCAAGUGGACUCUAUAAUCAAUGGUUUAUAUCUGUACAUGAGCAAAAACAUGAGUCAAAAACACUCAUCAUUUUACAGAAUCAUACUUCAAGUAGGCAAGAAUGUACACAACAAAAUAAUGUCAUUCAUCUUCCAUGAGAAGUAAACAAAUACCUUUGUUUGAACUUACCGUUAUUCUUUAUGUAACAAAUAUUUUUGUUUCUGGUUUUCUAUUAUACUUACAUUGUUCUACUGCAGAAGAAAAUAAAUACCACCAACUGAGAUGGAUCUCUUUUUUCAAGUUAUGCCUAUGAAUCUAGUAAAUAUAUAUUUUGAAAUUAAUGGGACAGUUUACGUGCAAUUUCUUCAAAGAGUGACUUUAGCUUGUUAGGAAAUUGGAAAUUUUUUAGAAAAUUGCUUUUCAAGCAAAAGAAUCUUUCAUAUAUUUUUAUUACCAA